UUUAACCUUGAUUUAUUUUUUAAAUGUUUAUAUUAUUUGAAUAAAACAUUCAAAUAAUAUAAAAAAUAAUAUAUAUAUUGACAUGGAUUAAACAAAGAUAUAUAUUAUUUUAUGUUGUAUAAACAAAUUGGCAAAAUAGAGAUGGAAGAUAAAAAUAUGGUCAAAGUAAUAAGAGUCUAUGGUGGAUGCCUAGGAGCUUUAAGGCGAAGAAGGUCGUGGUAAGCUGCGAAAAGCUUGGGGG
rnacentral:misc_RNA from 1 species